rnacentral:rRNA from 1 species
UACGUAGGGUGCAAGCGUUGUCCGGAAUUAUUGGGCGUAAAGAGCUCGUAGGCGGUUUGUUGCGUCGGCUGUGAAAACCUGAGGCUCAACCUCAGGCCUGCAGUCGAUACGAGCAGACUAGAGUGUUGCAGGGGAGACUGGAAUUCCUGGUGUAGCGGUGAAAUGCGCAGAUAUCAGGAGGAACACCUAUAGCGAAGGCAGCUUGCUGGGACGACACUGACGCUGAGGCGCGAAAGCGUGGGGAGCGAACAGG